UGCCUGAAUGCUUAAGGGUCACUAUGAUAAAGUGAACAUAGAGGUAUACCAGCCCUCUCAUUUCCUCAUACUUAG
rnacentral:tRNA from 9 species